GGGGCAUCACGAGGUAGCAAUACUUUGGUGGCGACCGGCGCACGGGUGCGUAACGCGUAUGUAACCUACCUAUAACAGGGGCAUAACACUGAGAAAUUGGUACUAAUUCCCCAUAAUAUUCGGAGAGGCAUCUCUCCGGGUUGAAAACCCCGGUGGUUAUAGAUGGACAUGCGUUGUAUUAGCUAGUUGGUGAGGUAACGGCUCACCAAGGCAACGAUACAUAGGGGGACUGAGAGGUUGACCCCCCACACUGGUACUGAGACACGGACCAGACUCCUACGGGAGGCAGCAGUGAGGAAUAUUGGUCAAUGGACGCAAGUCUGAACCAGCCAUGCCGCGUGCAGGAAGACGGCUCUAUGAGUUGUAAACUGCUUUUGUACGAGGGUAAACUCACCUACGUGUAGGUGACUGAAAGUAUCGUACGAAUAAGGAUCGGCUAACUCCGUGCCAGCAGCCGCGGUAAUACGGAGGAUUCAAGCGUUAUCCGGAUUUAUUGGGUUUAAAGGGUGCGUAGGCGGUUUGAUAAGUUAGAGGUGAAAUCCCGGGGCUUAACUCCGGAACUGCCUCUAAUACUGUUAGACUAGAGAGUAGUUGCGGUAGGCGGAAUGUAUGGUGUAGCGGUGAAAUGCUUAGAGAUCAUACAGAACACCGAUUGCGAAGGCAGCUUACCAAACUAUAUCUGACGUUGAGGCACGAA
rnacentral:rRNA from 1 species